rnacentral:rRNA from 1 species
UACGUAGGGUGCAAGCGUUGUCCGGAAUUAUUGGGCGUAAAGAGCUUGUAGGCGGUUUGUCGCGUCUGCUGUGAAAUUUCGGGGCUCAACCCCGAACUUGCAGUGGGUACGGGCAGACUAGAGUGUGGUAGGGGAGACUGGAAUUCCUGGUGUAGCGGUGAAAUGCGCAGAUAUCAGGAGGAACACCGAUGGCGAAGGCGGGUCUCUGGGCCGAUACUGACGCUGAGGAGCGAAAGCGUGGGGAGCGAUCCGG